rnacentral:rRNA from 1 species
AUUGAACGCUGGCGGCAUGCUUUACACAUGCAAGUCGAACGGCAGCGCGGGCUUCGGCCUGGCGGCGAGUGGCGAACGGGUGAGUAAUGCAUCUGAACGUGCCCAUUAGUGGGGGAUAGCCCGGCGAAAGCCGGAUUAAUACUGCAUACGACCUGAGGGUGAAAGCGGGGGACCGAAAGGCCCCGCGCUAUUGGAGCGGCCGAUGUCGGAUUAGCUAGUUGGUGGGGUAAAGGCUUACCAAGGCGACGAUCCGUAGCUGGUCUGAGAGGACGACCAGCCACACUGGGACUGAGACACGGCCCAGACUCCUACGGGAGGCAGCAGUGGGGAAUUUUGGACAAUGGGGGCAACCCUGAUCCAGCCAUGCCGCGUGCGGGAAGAAGGCCUUCGGGUUGUAAACCGCUUUUGUUCGGGAAGAAAUCCUCUGGGCUAAUACCCCGGGGGGAUGACGGUACCGGAAGAAUAAGCACCGGCUAACUACGUG